rnacentral:rRNA from 1 species
AGAGUUUGAUCCUGGCUCAGAGCGAACGCUGGCGGCACGCCUAACACAUGCAAGUCGAGCGAGAAAGUGACUUCGGUCGCGAGUAAAGCGGCGAACGGGUGAGUACAACGUGGAUAAUCUACCCUAAGGUCUGGGACAACCCCGAGAAAUCGGGGCUAAUACCGGAUAAGACCACAGUAUCCAAGGAUACAGCGGUAAAAGAUUUAUCGCCUUUGGAUGAGUCCACGCUUCAUCAGGUAGUUGGUAAGGUAAAGGCUUACCAAGCCUAAGACGGGUAGCCGGCCUUAGCGGGUGAACGGCCACAUGGGGACUGAGACACGGCCCUGACUCCUACGGGAGGCAGCAGUGGGGAAUAUUGGGCAAUGGGCGAAAGCCUGACCCAGCGAUGCCGCGUGAGGGAUGAAGGCCUUCGGGUUGUAAACCUCUGUCAGGAGGGACGAUGGGACUUUGUCUUGACGGUACCUCCAGAGGAAGCCCCGGCUAACUCCGUGCCAGCAGCCGCGGUAAUACGGAGGGGGCAAGCGUUGCUCGGAAUUACUGGGGCGUAAAGGGUCCGCAGGCUGUCAGGCCAAGUUUGGUUGUGAAAUCCCAAGGCUUAACCUUGGAAUUGCAUCCAAAACUGCCUGACUAGAG